CUGCUCUAGAGGUAGCUAAUAGGUGGACAGUCCCGUGGCUCCUAGAAAAAAGUUCUAAUUAUGGAAGAAGUAACAGGGUUUGUUAUGGAAGUCAUUUCAGUUUCACAUUCCUAUUGAAAGUGGAGUAGAGAGAGUAUACCUUUUCCAGGGCAUUACCUGUCACCAUGCAGUUCAUUCCAGCACCUCUUCUUGCCAGAUCAAUUUUGAGGAACAAAGUCUGCUCAUUCCUGUACCCAAUAUGCCAAAAGGAACGAAGCACUGCUGCCAUGAGUUUUCCCGGACUCCUAAAGAAAACAGCCACUUCUGGGUUCUUUCCUACCCUCUGGUCCCCGCCUGAUGAUGUCAUUUCUCCCAUCCACCACCACGAUUUCUUCCCAGCAUUCCCAGCAUCUUAUCUGUUCAUUUCCAUUCCCACCUUGAUAAAUUGUCCGCCUGUCAAGCCCUCAUUUGUCUGUUAUGUUGUACAAGAACUGACUGACCAUGAUUUCUUUACAGUAUACAGGAAUGUA